AUUAUUUAAAUAUUGCUUUUGAUGUCUAAUUUAAAGAAAAAGCCAAGCAAAAUUAUCUUUGUCAAUUGUAGGGCAAAUUACAGGUAUACUGACAAUUUCUUUUGAUAAUUAUAUUUCUUUUUAAUUUCUUUUUCAACUUUCAUGAUGGACUGUUUCAACUGUAAAGUGUCAACUUGGAUCCAAAUGGUAUUUUUAGGAGUAAUCUCCCCUGUUCAAAAUUUGAACUAUGGUGGAGAUACAUCUGCAAGACCAUCAGCAGAGAGUUUGAACACCUGUAUACCAAUAUUUCUACCAAUCACCUCUGUAACCUUUGCUGUGUUCAUCAGACAGAUGAAGAUAUCUAUUAUGCCCUUCACAACGAAGGCUCCAACAGAUUCACAAUGAGAAAGCUCUAUGUACCCAAUAUUCAACCUCUAACUGCCGGGAUAUCCAAUAGAAUCCCCGCUGCUACACAAGGACCAAUAGACUACAGAGUGGUACACAGCAGUGAAGUUUACCUGCUCAUCUGCUGUUUUUGGAGUGUACAUGAAAACUUGCUUGUAGAGAUUUUUACACUCCUAGGUUGUGACCAGCCUGCAGACUUUCCACUUUCCAUUUGUGGUAAUUCUAGCUGGAUAGUGCUUUAAUCUGAUUGGUUAAACAUUCAAGUGAUGGAUGUGACAUUUCAUUGGUGAUUCUAGCUGGAGAGUGUUUUAAUCUGAUUGGAUAAACAUUCAAGUGAUGGAUGUGACAUAACAGUGGUGAUUCUAGCUGGAGAGUGCUUUAAUCUGAUUGGAUAAACAUUCAAGUGAUGGAUGUGACAUUUCAUUGGUGAUUCUAGCUGGACAGUGCUUUAAUCUGAUUGGAUAAACAUUCAAGUGAUGGAUGUGACAUAACAGUGGUGAUUCUAGCUGGACAGUGCUUUAAUCUGAUUGGAUAAAUAUUCAAGUGAUGGAUGUGACAUUUCAUUGGUGAUUCUAGCUGGACAUUCCAGUCUGUAAGGAUGAUUAUAGUCAGUAUUGUACAUAUUUUACAGGUAUGUGUUCUCUGAUUAAAUAGGCUUAAAGGAUUCACAGCAAAGCAAUGAUUUAAUGACUCCAAAGGAAUUGACCUUGAGAGGUAUAAAAUUAAUAAAUGUCCAUCACUGAAACUGCAAUGAAUUCCUGUGGAUUCUGAAUUAUAUGUUGGAGGACUGGAAGUUUGAACUGAUGAUUGCAGCUCCAGUACUUAAGAAAACCUUCAAAGAGACCAAAUUGAUUUUCAGAUGAUGGACCACUCUACUUUCUUUUACAACAGGUGCCCCUACAGAUUCACAAAGUUCCAGUGUUGAGUUUCCAUGACCCUCUAUUCAUCCAUAACAGAAAAAAGAAUAAAGUUGACAUAACUUUCCGCAUUGUCCUUGGAAGCUGCAGCUUACAAUAGAGCCAACAGCUACAGACAUAGCCCACGUCAUCAGAGAUGCACAAGAUGCAGCGGCACUGUCUCCAUCACUAGUGAAAUGGAAAAUAACUAGUGGACAUUGACGGUCAUUUUGAGGCCUAAUUCUCUUGAUCUCCAACAGUAGUCUCUGGAGGAAUCAUGUUGCAGUGCAGUCUUGGUGUCCUGAGCAGGUCUGUUGCCUGUUUGCCAAUGAUGCUGUUUUAACAUUAGCACCAAUAAGCCAUGCCUACCCUCUACUUGUGGUACCCAAGUGACCAACAGCCAUGGUCACAUUUAGCUGUGCAACGUACUCUGUGACCCCUACCAGAUCUUCUCACCUCUUUGUAUAGCUUUUCUCGGUGAAUGGUAUAUUGACACUCCUUACAUCUGAUGGAAAAGAUCCAUGCCAGGUUUUUCUCCUGAUGCUGAUUCCAGUCCAG